UGCCCAAGAGAUCGGGAUAACACCUGGAAACAGAUGCUAAUACCGGAUAACAACAGAUGAUGCCUAUCAACUGUUUAAAAGAUGGUUCUGCUAUCACUCUUGGAUGGACCUGCGGUGCAUUAGCUAGUUGGUAGGGUAACGGCCUACCAAGGCGAUGAUGCAUAGCCGAGUUGAGAGACUGAUCGGCCACAUUGGGACUGAGACACGGCCCAAACUCCUACGGGAGGCAGCAGAU
rnacentral:rRNA from 1 species